rnacentral:rRNA from 1 species
UCCUGGCUCAGGACGAACGCUGGCGGCGUGCUUAACACAUGCAAGUCGAACGCUGAAGCACCAGCUUGCUGGUGUGGAUGAGUGGCGAACGGGUGAGUAAUACGUGAGUAACCUGCCCUUGACUCUGGGAUAAGCCCGGGAAACUGGGUCUAAUACUGGAUGCUACAUGYCACCGCAUGGUGGUGKGUGGAAAGGGUUUACUGGUCUUGGAUGGGCUCACGGCCUAUCAGCUUGUUGGUGAGGUAAUGGCUYACCAAGGCGACGACGGGUAGCCGGCCUGAGARRGKGACCGGCCACACUGGGACUGRGACACGGCCCAGACUCCUACGGGRGGCRGCAGKGGGGAAUAUUGCACAAUGGGSGAAAGCCUGAUGCAGSGACGCCGCGUGAGGGAUGACGGCCUUCGGGUUGUAAACCUCUUUCAGCAGGGAAGAAGCCACAAGUGACGGUACCUGCAGAAGAAGCGCSGGCUAACUACGUGCCAGCAGCCGSGGUAAUACGUAGGGCGCAAGCGUUGUCCGGAAUYAUUGGGCGUAAAGAGCUSGUAGGCGGUUUGUCGCGUCUGCUGUGAAAGCCCGGGGCUUAACCCCGGGUGUGCAGUGGGUACSGGCAGACUAGAGUGCAGUAGGGGAGACUGGAAUUCCUGGUGUAGCGGUGGAAUGCGCAGAUAUCAGGAGGAACACCGAUGGCGAAGGCAGGUCUCUGGGCUGUUACUGACGCUGAGGAGCGAAAGCAUGGGGAGCGAACAGGAUUAGAUACCCUGGUAGUCCAUGCCGUAAACGUUGGGCACUAGGUGUGGGGGACAUUCCACGUUUUCCGCGCCGUAGCUAACGCAUUAAGUGCCCCGCCUGGGGAGUACGGCCGCAAGGCUAAAACUCAAAGGAAUUGACGGGGGCYCGCACAAGCGGCGGAGCAUGCGGAUUAAUUCGAUGCAACGCGAAGAACCUUACCAAGGCUUGACAURUAYYGGAUCGUUCUAGAGAUGGUUCUUYCYYUUUGGGGUCGGUAUACAGGUGGUGCAUGGUUGUCGUCAGCUCGUGUCGUGAGAUGUUGGGUUAAGUCYCYGCAACGAGCGCAAYCYUCGUUCYAUGUUGCCAGCACGUGAUGGUGGGGACUCAUGGGAGACUGYYGGGGUCAACUCGGAGGAAGGUGGGGAUGACGUCAAAUCAUCAUG